rnacentral:rRNA from 1 species
AACGAACGCUGGCGGCGUGCCUAACACAUGCAAGUCGAACGGGCUGUAGCAAUACAGUCAGUGGCGAACGGGUGAUUAACGCGUGGGAACCUGCCUUGGAGUUCGGAAUAACUGCGGGAAACUGCAGCUAAUACCGGAUACGACCUAAGGGUGAAAGCAGCAAUGCGCUCCGAGAGGGGCCCGCGUCCGAUUAGCUAGUUGGUGAGGUAACGGCUCACCAAGGCGAUGAUCGGUAGCUGGUCUGAGAGGAUGAUCAGCCACACUGGAACUGAGACACGGUCCAGACUCCUACGGGAGGCAGCAGUGGGGAAUAUUGGACAAUGGGGGAAACCCUGAUCCAGCAAUGCCGCGUGGGUGAUGAAGGCCUUCGGGUUGUAAAGCCCUUUUGGCGGGGACGAUGAUGACGGUACCCGCAGAAGAAGCCCCGGCUAACUUCGUGCCAGCCGCCGCAGUAAGAC